AUUGAACGCUGGCGGCAGGCCUAACACAUGCAAGUCGAACGAGUGGCGGACGGGUGAGUAAUGUCUGGGAAACUGCCCGAUGGAGGGUGAUAACUACUGGAAACGGUAGCUAAUACCGCAUACCAUCGGAUGUGCCCAGAUGGGAUUAGCUUUUAGGUGAGGUAACGGCUCACUUAGGCCACGAUCCCUAGCUGGUCUGAGAUGAUGACCAGCCAAACGGGAACUGAGACACGGUCCAGACUCCUACGGGAGGGAGCAGUGGGGAAUAUUGCACAAUGGGCGCAAGUCUGACGCAGCAAUGCCGCGUGUAUGAAGAAGGCCUUCGGGUUGUAAAGUACUUUCAUCGGGGAGGCGUUACCUGCAGAAGAAGCCCCGGCUAACUCCGUGCCAGCAGCCGCGGUAAUAC
rnacentral:rRNA from 1 species